rfam:Rhabditophanes sp. KR3021 genome assembly, scaffold: RSKR_scaffold0000017
AAAAGGUGAAAGACAUGGGUAGUGAGACGUUGAUUUAGUACCGUAUCACUAUUCUGUUUUUCACCUUUUU